rnacentral:rRNA from 1 species
AGUAACACGUGGGUAACCUGCCUUAUGAGGGGGAUAACAGAGAGAAAUCACUGCUAAUACCGCAUAAGCACACAGUACCGCAUGGUACAGGGUGAAAAGAUUUAUCGCCAUAAGAUGGACCCGCGUCUGAUUAGCCAGUUGGCAGGGUAAAAGCCUACCAAAGCAACGAUCAGUAGCCGAUCUGAGAGGAUGACCGGCCACAUUGGGACUGAGACACGGCCCAA